GGAUACUAUUGGAAGGUCAUGUCUGGUGCCAGCAGCCGCGGUAAUUCCAGCUCCAAUAGCGUAUAUUAAAGUUGUUGCAGUUAAAAAGCUCGUAGUUGAACUUUGGGCCUGGGUGGCCGGUCCGAUUUUUUCGUGUACUGGAAUGCACCCGGGCCUUUCCUUCUGGCUAACCCCAAGUCCUUGUGGCUUGGCGGCGAACCAGGACUUUUACUUUGAAAAAAUUAGAGUGUUCAAAGCAGGCGUAUUGCUCGAAUAUAUUAGCAUGGAAUAAUGGAAUAGGACGUUUGGUUCUAUUUUGUUGGUUUCUAGGACCAUCGUAAUGAUUAAUAGGGACGGUCGGGGGCAUCAGUAUUCAAUUGUCAGAGGUGAAAUUCUUGGAUUUAUUGAAGACUAACUACUGCGAAAGCAUUUGCCAAGGACGUUUUCAUUAAUCAAGAACGAAAGUUAGGGGAUCGAAGAUGAUCUAGAUACCGUCGAAGAUACCGG
rnacentral:rRNA from 1 species